GGGAUUGUGGCUCAGUGGUAGAGCGCUCGCCUAGCACGUGGGAGGACCUGGGUUCCAUCCUCAGCACCA
rfam:Ictidomys tridecemlineatus contig031516, whole genome shotgun sequence.